rnacentral:rRNA from 1 species
AGAACGAACGCCGGCGGCAGGCUUAACACAUGCAAGUCGAACGCUCGUAGCAAUACGGGAGUGGCAGACGGGUGAGUAACGCGUGGGAACAUACCCUCCGGUUCGGAAUAGCUCAGGGAAACUUGGAUUAAUACCGGAUACGGCCGAGAGGCGAAAGAUUUAUCGCCGGAGGAUUGGCCCGCGUUCGAUUAGCUAGUUGGUGAGGUAAUGGCUCACCAAGGCGAUGAUCGAUAGCUGGUCUGAGAGGAUGAUCAGCCACAUUGGGACUGAGACACGGCCCAAACUCCUACGGGAGGCAGCAGUGGGAUAUUGGACAAUGGGCGCAAGCCUGAUCCAGCCAUGCCGCGUGAGUGAUGAAGGCCUUAGGGUUGUAAAGCUCUUUCGCUCGGGACGAUAAUGACGGUACCGAGAUAAGAAGCCCCGGCUAACUUCGUGCCAGCAGCCGC